AACAUCGCGCACCUGCGGGAACCUGCGGAGGGAUCAUUAACACUAAAGUCCACUUUGUUGUCGUCUCGCGUCGUGCGACUGUGUGCUUGCCGCACAGUCCACGCACGACGGCGACAACAAUAAGCACCCAGUGAUUCUGUUGAAGUGAAAACACUAAAGGGCAGUCGCUGCUUCGCGGCGCGGUUGCCUGUUUUCACCCCUUAUAAACACCCGAAUCAUUAAACCUUAAGCCUAAAACGU
rnacentral:misc_RNA from 1 species